UGCAGCUGCGUCAAAUUCAUUGCCCACCUUUCCUGUGGUGGGGAUUGGUCCAAACAGCUGCCACAGCAAUAUCUGUAGUUCAUGGGCCUCAGAACUCUUGGUGGGCUCUGGGGAUAGUUUUAUUGCAGACAUGG
rnacentral:snoRNA from 1 species